UGCACGGUGGCGGAGGUGGUUGCACUGUUUCCUGUUUCCAACAAGAAGGUCCUGGGUUCAACUCCCGGCCGGGGGUCU